AUGCAACGCAAUGAUCGUGUUUCGUGUGUUUAUAAUAUGUUACUGAACUACAACGAUGAGGUCGGAACUCUCGAAAAAAUGCAUAUAUUUAUGUCACGCGUCACGUCGAUGACCCCGGGGUAAUAAUUGAAAACGGUCCGAUAACGGAACAAUAUCGAGGUGUGAUCCUCCGUUGAAUCCGGUGGAUUUUUUGUCCGUCUCAAGUUAUAACGCAGGAUGUAGCGUGAAAGAGUCUCCCGAGGAGA